rnacentral:rRNA from 1 species
CACGUAGGGUGCGAGCGUUGUCCGGAAUUAUUGGGCGUAAAGAGCUCGUAGGCGGUGUGUCGCGUCGGCCGUGAAAACCUGCAGCUUAACUGUGGGCUUGCGGUCGAUACGGGCAUCACUGGAGUUCGGCAGGGGAGACUGGAAUUCCCAGUGUAGCGGUGAAAUGCGUAGAUAUUGGGAGGAACACCAGUGGCGAAGGCGGCUCACUGGACCGGAACUGACGCUGAGGCGCGAAAGCGUGGGGAGCAAACAGG